GAUGAAGAACGCAGCGAAAUGCGAUAAGUAAUGUGAAUUGCAGAAUUCAGUGAAUCAUCGAAUCUUUGAACGCACCUUGCGCUCCUUGGUAUUCCGAGGAGCAUGCCUGUUUGAGUGUCAUUACAACCCUCAAGCUCUGCUUGGUGUUGGGCCCCGCCGCCCCGGCGGGCCCUAAAAUCAGUGGCGGUGCCGUCCGGCUCCGAGCGUAGUAAUUCUUCUCGCUCUGGAGGUCCGGGUGUGUGCUCGCCAGCAACCCCCAAUUUUUUUCAGGUUGACCUCGGAUCAGGUAGGGAUACCCGCUGAACUUAAGCAUAUCAAUAAGCGGAGGA
rnacentral:misc_RNA from 1 species